AGGCAGUGUAACGUUAGCUGGU
rnacentral:miRNA from 2 species